rnacentral:miRNA from 1 species
UCGAAUAUAUUUUAAUAGUAUAGCCGAACGGCUAUACGCUUUAAAUAUACAAUGAGAGAGUAUAGCCGCACGGCUAUACGAUUUAAAUAUUCAAAU